rnacentral:rRNA from 1 species
UACGGAGGGGGCAAGCGUUGUUCGGAAUUACUGGGCGUAAAGGGCGCGCAGGCGGCUGCUCAAGUCAGGCGUGAAAGGCCUGGGCUCAACCCGGGAAUUGCGCUUGAGACUGGGCUGGCUUGAGUGCGGGAGAGGAUGGUGGAAUUCCCAGUGUAGAGGUGAAAUUCGUAGAUAUCAGGAGGAACACCAAUGGCGAAGGCAGCACUCUGGGACGUGACUGACGCUGAGACGCGAAAGCGUGGGGAGCAAACAGG